UUCGUCUUUUAGGGAUCUCAACUAAGUUAAUUAAAGUUAGAGUUAAAUAAGAUUAGUUAACACAUAAUCAAAUAAUUAGAAGAGUAAACGAGAUAAUGAAAUUGGGCCCCUUCUUGGGCCAAUUUCGCUAUAUUUUUAAGCUUCAAUCUCAUUCCCGUUUUGCGUAUACACUGGAUGUAUAUCAGUGUAUAUGAGCAUAUAUAUUAGCUCUUUUCAUGUAUUUCUCACUUCCGAACACCUGUGUUUCGCCUUCUCCCUGUGUUUUCGCAUUUUUGACCUGUAAUUCGCUGUAUAAUGAGUGUAUACUGCUGUAGACAGCUCGUUUCUCAGCCUUUUUUCAGCUUUCUGAAACUUGUUUUCAAUUUCCAGCCCUGUACAGCCCUAUUCAGAUGACCCGGUUAACUUAAAGAAAAGAAAAAUCGGGCCCCUAUGGCCCAAUCAUUGAAUGCAACGAGAGGGUGGAAGCCCAUGAGGGCUCGGACAUAUUUCACAUGCAAUAAAAAGGAUGAUAAGAAAUUAGAAUUGUCAUAAACAAUAAUUAAAUGUGCAAUCAAUGGGAUGUAAGAAGGUAAAUAUCUAAGAUACAAGACAAAACAUGAUAUCAUUUGACUAAACAAGCAAACUAAUUUAAAGAAAUUUACUACAUUUAUCGAAAACGAGUAUUCGCACAACACAUCCUUUAAUAAAACUAAGUCACAUGGUGGUGCCCAAUCAAAGCCACAUGCCAAGCUUCAUCAACUCAUUUUGAAUCUAUUGCUAUGCCAAAAUUCAUGCUUAAUCUAAUUAAUGUAAAAUAGACUAACCAACAUGGAUAGACCAAUUUUAAGAAUUGAACCUACAACACUAUCUUAAUAAGGAGCAAGGCCUAAAGAAAGGUAGCAACAAGGUUUAACAGAAUGAAUAAGAGCAUUAAUAUUGUUGACAAAAUAGUCCUCCUCAAAUGUCCACUAUAUACUAAUGCAAUAUUUUUCAAAUGAUCAGAGAGAAAAUAAAAUAAAAUAAAACAAAAUCAAUAAAGCAUCACAAUGAACUUGAACAUCAACUGAUAGAGAUUACAUAUUCAACAUACAUCUAAAGAUAAAGAACUAUACUAAUCCUAAAUUUAUUAAAGUAAAAUUAGGCCAUAUAGAAAGCUUCUUAACUAGAUGAAUAUAUAAUAUAAUAUUAACUAAAUGAUGUACAUAAAAGUCAACAGUGAACUAAAUGGAUUGAUUGCUAGACAAAAUUGCACAAAGGCAUGAAAGCUAUGGUGGAAAACUAUCAUUUUGAACACAUCUAGAUAUAACUCCUACUAUUAAACUUUAAGAACUUAACAUCUAUAAGGAACAUUUCUAAGUUAAUGGGCAAAAUAAAUAAAAAUAAUCCAACUCACCUCAAAACUAAACCAACUACACGUUUUAAAAGCUCAUGGCAUUAGGUGGCAUUCCAAAACAGGGAACAAAAGUAUAUGACAACUACCUUAAAGGACACAUGAGAGGGUAUAGAACACAUUAAGGGAAGCAACAACGACUAAUCUAAUUUGAACUUGAGAGCCUAUUUAUUUAUUGAUUAUUAGCAACAUAUCAAGACUACAUUGAACGUUAAUAAACAAACCAACAAAUUUGGGGCACUCACUAAACAUGAUCAAUGCUACAGAAUUGAAGUUGGAUAACUUUAAAGGCUAGUAAUCAUCUACUCUUGCACAAUAAUAAAACUAGCAAAAUCUGGAAGUACACUACUUAACAGAGAAAAACAAGGUGGUAAAAUCUUACACUUCAACUAUUGAGCCCUUUUAACCACAUCAAACAGAUAGUCAAGAUUUAUCAUGAAAGUAGACUUUUAACAUGAUUGAAUUGAAUGUAGAUGCUUGCUACACGGUUAGGAAACAAAGUUUUCACGAAAAGGAUUAGAGACUUUAGCAUCGAGGCUGUGGAUCGUGGAAACAAGCAGGUUAUAAUAAUACUACGCCUUGAAGCCAAAAAAGAACAAAACAAUAGCAAGACAUGGACAACAUUCUAGUAUGUAAAAGCAGCAAUUGGAUUUAAAUAGCAUGAGAUUGAGCAAAUAUUGAUAAGAGUUUAUUAUAAUGAAUAAAAAGCGACAAAGGGGACAACCAAGGCUACGAUUAAGCAGUGAAGAAAUAGAACUUAUACAUUUAGCACACUCAAAGUUGAAACCAAUCGAACAGUGGAUCAUCUCGAGCAAACUAAACAAGUUCAGCUGGCUUUAUAGAUACAAAAUCGAGCCAACAAGUCUAAGGACUAACAUACAACACUAAAGUGACUUCAUCGAUGCUUGAAUCAUGUUUACUGCUCAAAAAACUCACAGGAAAAUGGUACUAAAGAAAAGACUUAAAAGCGUAGGAACCGAACGUUCUUAAUAACACACUCCAUACCAAGUAUCGAACACAUAGCACACCAUAUCGAAAACAGAACAUAAGAGGAGGCGAAGUUACCUUUUUUGGAGCAGCGAGCUGGGACGAACGAGCUUAGAAGAGAGCGACUUCUCACACGACUUUAAUCUGGGGCAGUAAACCAAGAAAUUCAAACCAACUUCGAACAAAAGACCUUCUCGAAACUUUAGACGUCUGAAAUUUCCCAAGUGUAAAAUUUAUCGUUCAAAGAAUUCUUUUUUUUUUGCCCCCCCAAACAGUGAUCAAAAGAGAUGAUUAUAUAACUGGAAAAUCGGGGGAAAUCGGGUGAAUUUUUCAAUUUUAAAUUCGGACUUCUCUGCCUCUUUUCAAGAUAACAGUGGAAAGGAUUCGAAAAUCCCUGAAAAGGGGGAAAGCAGGGUGACGAAGUGACCAUCUAGACCACUAGGUUAUGGGUUUUGCAGGGUAGUUGGACGAGCAUACUGUUGUGCGCGUUUUCUGGGUUUGUAGCGUUCUUCGCUGUUGUCGCGUGAAGAAGACGAGAAGUGUGGUCGUUUGCUGCGUUGUAUUGCUCUAUGUAUUGUUGGGUCUUUGUGUUGUUGGGCUGAGGUGGUGGGCUGUAAUGUUGUUGUUGUAUGGUAUUGCUGUGUAUUGUUGGGCUGGGAAAAUGGGAUUGGAAAUGGCCCAAAAUUGGCCUAUUGAAUUGGGUAAGCAAUUCACUAAAAUUGUUAUUAAAUAAUAGUCAAAUGGAUUUCAAUUAUUGCCGAAUAGAAUUUAAUUGGUGAAUUUGGCUGAAAUUUAAACAAGACGAGUUAAUACAAAUUAAUUAAUGAACUUCUUAAUCUCAACGAAAAUAAAAAUAAUUAACUUAAUUAUAAACUAACUAAUUCAAUUACAAAACUAAUUAACUCGAAAUUAUAACUAUACUUAAAGUAAAUUAAUAAAAUAUUUAACUAAGAUAUAAAAUCUUUUGUGAUGAUUUUUCAAAUAUUUAUAAAAUAAAGUGAUUGCAAAAAUAUACAUAUUUAUUAUUAAAAAUGAUAAAAUUACUUUAAAAUAACUCGAAGGUAUUUUGAAUUUCAUAAAACUCAUUAAUUCAAAAUUAUAACCAUCCCUAAUAUUUAAAAUAUAAAAAUCUUUUUUUGAGACGAAUUUCGAAUAAUCAUAAAAUAUACUAAUUAGAUACAUAAUUCUGUAAAACACAUAUAUCAUUUAAAAAUUAUGAAAAGUGACAAAACUAUUCAAAAAUCUUGCAAACUAUAUUAUUAUUUUUUGGAAAUUUUAUAAAACUAAUUUUUUUUUUUUAAAAAAAAAAAUCAUUUGAAAUUGAAGAAGCUCAAAAUGAUUAAUUUAUAUUGUGGAAGGUCAAAAUUCGGUGUCAACAGGUGGAGGAGCAGUCUCUUGGAAAUCUUCCAAAUAGAGAUGUAUCGCUCGCUCUACUAUGAAAUCUGAGUUUAUCACUCUAGAUAAGGCCGGUAAAGAAGUUGAAUGACUCCAAAAUUUUCUUGAAAGAUUUUUGGCCCAAACCUUUUAGAUCCAAUAUGCAUACAAUGUGAGAGUUAAUUUGCAAUAGGUAAAGCAUGGAGCAUGAUGUAUAACGGAAAGUCUCGUCAUAUAUGACGUAGACAUAAUAUCGUUAGAAAACUACUCUCUAGUGGAAUUAUCAUAAUUGACUAUGUAAAGUCAAAGGAUAAUGUGUUAGAUCAACUUAUAAAAGGCCUAACUAGAGAGGGAGUUGAUAGAUUAUCAAAGGGAAUGGGACUAUGGCCGAGAACAAGUCAUUGUGGUAGUAACUCUACCUAGAAGACUAGAGAUCCCAAGAUCUAGGUUCAAGGAGAUCAAACAAAGUCAUUGAUGACGGUUCAACAUUGUCAAAAUAUUUUUUAUGGUCCAUUCUCAUGAUAAGACAAUGUUCAGUAGCAAGGAUAAAUGCAUUAGGACUUUUUAAUGAUUUCUAAGUUUGAUACAGGGUAUAUCAAAUGGUGUAUCUACUAGAUAACACAUUUAGAAAUCACCUAUGUAAGUGUGAAGUGUAAGCCGCUUUAAAAGAGAAUCUGGUAAGGCCAGUUCUCUACGCACUUAUAAACCAAGACGUGUUCAUGGCUGAAACGAACAAAACAAUGAGAACCAAAAAUAGUUCAAGGGUUGAUUGCGUGACUUAUGUUGUCUAGGUAUACACCAAAGCUCUACGAUUCAAAGAUAUCAAAUCUACCGAUUGACCGAGUAUAUCUGAUAUAUGUUCACUAUGGAAAGUUCAAAGGGAAACCCACUUAUCCAGAGGCAAUCAAUCCUUAAUUACGAAUCACACAGUUUUUCAUGCAUAUGUUUUAACAAUUGUCGUUCCCUAUUCAUGUGAGGGAUUACUGGAUUUUAAAGGUGUGAACAGGAAAUAAAGGAUUGUGACUCUCCUGAAGAGUUGUGACUAUGCCGAAGGGUUGUGACCUUUAUAAAAGGUUGUGUCCUUUCUUAAGGAUUGCGAUCGUUUGAAAGGUUGUGCCUUUUCCAAAGUGUUAUGACCUUUCUGAAAGGUUGUCUCUUUCCAAAGGGUUGUGACCUUUACCCUUUGUUGGCUAUAAAUAGAGAGGUUUUCUCUCAUUUUUCUGAAUCGAAUUCUUCCCUUCUUUUGCAUACAUUUCUUACAAAACAAAAUCGAUCGAUCGUGUCUGUGUGUGAUUCGUUGUUGUCAUUUUGAGUUCGUUGAAAUUAUCGAAGUUUGAGGCACCACUACUUCUUUAAUGGUUAAUCCGUUUUAUCUUGAGAGGAAUUAAUCUGCAACCUCGGGUACUUGAGGGGAUUAAAUUUCUUAAGGACAUACAAUGGGUUAUGUGGACUCAGAUAGUUCUUUGUGUUUUUCUUUUCAUCUUUUAUUAUUUCUGAUUUGCUAAUCUGAAUACNNNNNNNNNNNNNNNNNNNNNNNNNNNNNNNNNNNNNNNNNNNNNNNNNNNNNNNNNNNNNNNNNNNNNNNNNNNNNNNNNNNNNNNNNNNNNNNNNNNNNNNNNNNNNNNNNNNNNNNNNNNNNNNNNNNNNNNNNNNNNNNNNNNNNNNNNNNNNNNNNNNNNNNNNNNNNNNNNNUUUUCCAAAGUGUUGUGACAUUUCUGAAAGGUUGUCUUCUUUCCAAAGGGUUGUGACCUUUACCCUUUGUUGGCUAUAAAUAGAGAAGUUUUCUCUCAUUUUUUUGUAUCAAAUUCUUCCCUUCUUUUGCAUACAUUUCUUACAAAACAAAAUCGAUCGAUCGUGUCUGUGUGUGUGAUUCGUUGCUGUCAUUUUGAGUUCGUUGAAAUUAUCGAAGUUUGAGGUACCGCUACUUCUUUAAUGGCUAAUCCGUUUUAUCUUGGGAGGAAUUAAUCUGCAACCUCGGGUACUUGAGGGGAUUAAAUUUCUUAAGGACACACAGUUGGUUUUGUGGACUCGGAUAGUUCUUUGUGUUUUUCUUUUCAUCUUUUAUUAUUUCUGGUUUGCUAAUCUGAAUACAGGAGUUAACAUAAACAACAUAAACUGAUUUGUUAAAUUACUACAUUAAACCCUAUCUGAUAACACUUUAUAAUUCUCAAAGAAGUACAUUCCAUACUACUUGUGCAUUUUCAUUUUAAGAUUUGUUGAGUUGGAAUUCUUGUAUUUCUUUGAUUAAAAGUGUUAAACUAAGAUGAGAAGAUCCAUCAUUUUCUAUUGCAUUUUUUGCAAUUCGUCCAACUUCUUUCGCUCUUUUUCUCCUAUCAUUUCCUUCUUUCUCUUUGUCCAUCACCUUUUUAAUGGUUUUAGUCACUUCUUCUUUGUUCACUUGGACUUCAGGCUUCUUUUCCUCUCCCAAAUGCAUAACUCCUUGAGAUCCAACACUCAGUCCUAUUUUUAAGACAUGUACUAAGAAUCUCUCGUUCAGAAACUGCUCGGAAAAUAAAGGCCAAGUGAUCAUAGGCACACUAGCAGCGAUCCCCUCAAGGGUCGAAUUCCAACCACAAUGAGUCAAGAACCCUCCAAUUGCAGGGUGUGAUAGGAUCAAUACUUGUGGUGCCCAGCCACAGAUCAAAUGCCCUCUUUCUUUUGUUCUUGUCUCAAAUCUAUUUUUCGAUAUCCAGUCCUCUAUUGGUGCUUGUCCUUCCCCUGCUUUUAUGACUAAAAUGAAUGGACAACCUGAUUCUUCCAGGCCUAAAGCUAGCUCCACAAAUUGUACAAUUGUAAUACGACCGAGACUCCCAAGACAUGCAUACACAACAGACUCAGGCUGCCAAGAAUCAAGCCAUUUAUUUAAACUGUCCUCCUUGUCAAAUGACGUCUUAUUCCCUCUCUGAGCUUUAUCUAGAUUGUCAUUGUUACAGAGACACAAAGGUCCAAUACACCAAACUCUUCCAUCUUUAAGUUUUUGGAAUUCAUCAACGUACCUUUUUUCAAACUCCUCGAAAGUAUUGAUUACAACCACAUAGGCUCUUGUUUCAGCUGCUCGUAUUUUGUCUCAAAUAUCUUGUAUGCAAUGUGUUCCUGGAUUGAAUGCUCCAGGCAGCUGACAUUUAGUUACCUCAAUUCUAUCUGGCAAAUCAGGGAUGACAAAAGGCCCUGAUUCAGGAAUUUCACUUUGAUCCUUCAUGAUGUACAAAUUAUGCAUACAUAAUUGAGUGAAACAACUCAUUCCAUCAAAAAUAAUUCUUGGAAUCUGAAACUUAUCAGCUGUCUCAGCUGUCCAAGCAAUAUGAGUAUCACAAAUAAUUCAACUUGGCUUAGGCUUCAUCUC
rnacentral:lncRNA from 1 species